GACGAACGCUGGCGGCGUGCCUAAUACAUGCAAGUCGAACGCAGUGGGGACUGGUGAGUAAAACGUGGGUAACCUCCCAUCAGAGGGGAUAACACUUGGAAACAGGUGCUAAACCGAUACUGAUGGAUGGUCCCGCGGUGCAUUAGCUAGUUGGUGAGGUAACGGCUCACCAAGGCCACGAUGCAUAGCGGACCUGAGAGGGUGAUCGGCCACACUGGGACUGAGACACGGCCCAGACUCCUACGGGAGGCAGCAGUAGGGAAUAUUCGGCAAUGGGCGCAAGUCUGAUCGAGCAACGCCGCGUGUGUGAAGAAGGUUUUCGGGUCGUAAAGCUCUGUUGUUAGAGAAGCGGUAUCUAACCAGAAAGCAACGGCUAACUACGUGCCAGCAGCCGCGGUAAUUC
rnacentral:rRNA from 1 species